GGGAGGUGCAGUGGCGGCGGUCGUCACGCCGGUCUCGAACACCGGUCGUCCUUCGGGGCGGGGGUUCAACUCCUCCACCUUCCU
rnacentral:tRNA from 1 species